rnacentral:rRNA from 1 species
CCUACGGGAGGCAGCAGUAGGGAAUAUUGCUCAAUGGGGGAAACCCUGACGCAGCAACGCCGCGUGGAGGAUGAAGGUUUUCGGAUUGUAAACUCCUUUUGUUAGAGAAGAUAAUGACGGUAUCUAACGAAUAAGCACCGGCUAACUCCGUGCCAGCAGCCGCCGUAAUACGGCGGGCGCAAGCGUUACUCGGAAGCAAUGGGCGUAAAGAGCGCGUAGGCGGGUUUGCAAGUCAUAAGUGAAAUACUAGGGCUUAACCAUAGAAAGGCAAUUGAAACUGUAAUUCUAGAGUAUGAGAGAGGAAGGUAGAAUUCUUGGUGUAGGGGUAAAAGCCGUAGAGAUCAGGAGGAAUAC